AAAAACUGCCUCACUUGGGCCCAGCCUGCCCACAUGUCCUGCCAGGUCUGGGACAAGCCCCCUCCGUCCCAGUGCUUUGUUCAGCAUUUUGCCACCUUUUUGGUGCCUCUGCUUCCAGAGCCUGCAAACCCAUUGUGGAAAGGAAAGCAGCGGGGUCGCCCGUGCCCCUCAGCCAUGCCCAGCCCCAGCCUGUGGGUUUGGACAACCCUCCCGCCCGGGUCCUUCCACUGACUGACUAGGGGUGUAGAGACACUGCAGGAAUCAGAACACCGUAAAAGGCAAGUCGGCUCCCACUUC
rnacentral:lncRNA from 1 species